AAGGAGCUAUCAGAGCGCUUUCGUCCUCCCUCUUUCUCACUGUGAUCCGUUAUUUCGUUAAAAUCACCUAUCAUGAACCAAUGUCCAUUUCGUGUUGUCGAGAAACGCGUAAAACGUUCCCAUACUUGUUCCCUACGUUCUAAUACAUGGUCUCCAUAAACAAACGUCAUGAAAACUUUUAUUCCAUCAAUGACUGCCUCAAUGUCAAUCAUUCUGUUAUUUGAAAAUAAAACAUUAACUUGGAAUUCGUCCAUAAACAAAAUAGCUAAACCUCCGCUAAGACCAAGUGGCUCAACGGUAAACAAGUGAUC
rnacentral:lncRNA from 1 species